rnacentral:tRNA from 1 species
AGCGGGCGUAGUUCAGUGGUAGAACGUCACCUUCCCAAGGUGAAUGUCGUGGGUUCGAGUCCCAUCUCCCGCUU